rnacentral:rRNA from 1 species
UAUGUGAUCGUCUCUCGCAUAUCAAUAAGCGGAGGAAAAGAAACUAACAAGGAUUCCCCCUAGUAACGGCGAGUGAAGCGGGAAGAGCUCAAAUUUGAAAUCUUAAAGGGUUUCCCUUUACGAAUUGUAGUUUGAAAGAAGUGUUUUCUGUUGAGGUUUUGGUAAAAGUUCUUUGGAAUAGGACAUCAUAGAGGGUGAGAAUCCCGUAUUUGACCUUUACUUUCAACUUUGUGAUACACUUUCAAAGAGUCGGAUUGUUUGGGAAUGCAGUCCAAAAUGGGUGGUAAAUUUCAUCUAAAGCUAAAUAUUGGCGAGAGACCGAUAGCGAACUAAGUACCGUGAGGGAAAGAUGAAAAGAACUUCGAAAAGAGAGUUAAACAGUACGUGAAAUUGUCAAAAGGGAAGCGUUUGACACCAGUGUUGUUUUUCUGAAAAUCAAUUAAAGAACUGUUUAUGCUAAGUUGUUUAGACUUUAUCAGCUAACUGUUUAGUUUUGAGCUUUUCUUUAAUGCACUUUUUCAGUUAACAAGUCAACAUCAAUUUCUUUUGCUGUAAAAAAGCUUGAGGAAGGUGGCUUGAGAUUCGUCUUAAGUGUUUAUAGCCUCUUGCCUAUGCAGUCGGAGAGAUUGAGGUCUGCAGCGUAGAUCCUUCGGGGCUAAAUGCAUUUGUGCUAAGUUAUAGCAUUUUAUAGACAACCUGUUGACUAUGAUUUGUCUUGUAGCUUACUCGCUUAUGUUAUUUUACCUACGCUUAGGAUGUUGAAUCUGUGCGAGACUAC